UACGAAGGGGGCUAGCGUUGUUCGGAUUUACUGGGCGUAAAGCGCACGUAGGCGGUUUGUUAAGUCAGAGGUGAAAUCCUGGAGCUCAACUCCAGAACUGCCUUUGAUACUGGCAAGCUCGAGUCCGGAAGAGGUAAGUGGAACUCCUAGUGUAGAGGUGGAAUUCGUAGAUAUUAGGAAGAACACCAGUGGCGAAGGCGGCUUACUGGUCCGGAACUGACGCUGAGACUCGAAAGCGUGGGGAGCAAACAGG
rnacentral:rRNA from 1 species